GCUCCUCCCAAAAUAUCUCAAACCCUAAAAAUCCCACCCUUUCACUUUGCCCGCUUAUCACUUCUCUCAAAAUCAACCACUUUUACCUUGCUGCUUAUUUCAAAAUAAAUUCAGAAUCCACAACUUGAACUUUGUCUCUUCUGUUACUGAUAUCUCUCUUUAGUUUUGCUUUGAUUCAAUUGAUUCGUCAUCUCAAUUUCUAGGGUUUCAAGAUGACUGUAUUUAGAUUUGGUCAGCCUCACAGAAGACCAGUUCGGUUUCUGCCAGAUUUAAACCCUAUCUCAUGUUCGUCACUUUGUAUUGAUAGGGUCUGGAUAGAAUUAUGUUUUCACAAAUCAUGAUUCAUGCAUUGAGUUUUCAGCAGAUGGACCUUUUCACACGGCUUUACUGAAUUAAAAUCAAGGAAUCGUUAACUUCGGAAGCACAAUAGUCUUCUUUUGAAGUUCAAUCGUCCUUUGGAAUAUGAUUUUUCAACCAUUUCCUUUUUUUCCUCUGUAAUAGGCGAUUACUCAUCUGCGCUUCUGGCUUCUGGCUUCAUCGAUUUAAUAAGGUAAAAAGUUAUAUGACACAGACUCUUAAUUACCAAUUGUGACAUAUUGUUAGUUGUUAUUGACUAAUUGUUUGUUAAUUAAUCUACUGGUUUGUGUAGAACUUUAUAGAUUGUCACAUUUAAUUGUUAUAGUUUGUUAAUCGAUUGCUAAUGGCUUCUUGUUUAUUAAUAGAUUGCACUUCUUCUUAGACUCCACGUGUCAACUCAUGCCCCCAACCCAAGCCCCACCAUACCCCACGGUCUUAGACAUUAAUUGUUUAGCCUCAAAUGUACUAUAAAUGACAUGUAUAUGCUGUGAGUUUUUAUUUUGUUAAUUUUAAAUUAAAUAAUGAUGUGGUUUUUUUGUUCGGUAGAGAUGAGCAAAUGGUACCGGGUACUGGUUCGGAAUCCACACAGAAUUUUCUGAACUGACUCGAUUUUUGGUAGGACAUUUAGUGUUUUCGACAUCUGGUUUUUACUUUCAAAUACCGCUCCGUACUGGUACCGAAUCAGGUAUUUUUGGUACCGGUUGGUACCGAGCUCAUCCCUAGUUCGGAUCUUAUAGGUCUACUAGAACUUAAUUUCUAGUUAAUUUUGUUUGUCUAUAAAAGUUAUUGUUGUCAAACUAAUUUGGUCAUGUUUUCAGAUAUUACAGUUAGGUUUGAGAAGAAGAUUUAAGUGACAUAGUUAUUGUUGUAUGUAACAUGAUGCUUAGAUAUAUUGAUUUUACACUAUGCUAUUUUGAUAUGCAUUUUCACUCCAUGAACUUGGAUUAUUUGAUCAGUUUACUUAAAAAUCUUGGAACUGAUUGUGCUGAUGAGCAUUUCAUGGAAUACAUACGGACACUUGCAAUAGUAUCUUAAGUCUUAAGGUAUUAUUUUCUUGUAGUAUAUUUUGUGUUUAUUUUUGCAACUAUAUAAAUGUUCAUAGCGAGUACAUUACCCUUUUUUAUUGGAUUAAGUGAAAUAUAUUUGCUCAUAACAGUAAUUAGUUUCUCCACUUGCUGAAAAGUUUUAUGAACCUAUAUCCUUUAUCUAGCUUGUUUUGAUUAUUUAUCAUUUUAAUAUUACUGGUCAUCUGUGUAUAAUUUAAGAAGAUAUGAAGUUGUCAUCACAGUGAGUCUCAUUUAUUGGAGGUUGCAAAUAUCUUUGGACAGAACAACCACAUAUAAGAAAAAGUAUUCACAGGGUACAACUUGACUAGGUUCUCAGUUGAGAAGUUUUAGUAAUGGAAGAUAAAAGUAUGCAAGGACAAAGCUCCAAAAGACGUAUGAAUGCUUAUGAAAAUAGUAGAAUGUCAAGAUUCAAGAGAACCAAAAAAAAAAAUUACAAGCUUUGGGAUUGAAAAAUAUUGCUAAAUCUUUGAGAAGUCUAGCAGAGAGGGACAAAACAAAGAAAAAGAAAUCAAUGUAUACUAGCGAGAAAGAUAUAGAUGUAGAGUAUAUCCAUGGUUCUGAUGUCGAUGUCGAGCAAGAUUAUCAAGAAUUGGUGCAUCCAUCGCAUGGCCCUAUCCAUUCAUCUCGGUAGUCCAUGAGGAUUGAGGACGCAUGAUGGCUCAAGAUUUUAUGCUUCUUAUUUAUUUAAUUGCUUUUAAUUUAUUUGUUAAAUGUUAAGACUUUAUGUUAGAUAAUGUUAUAACUUAUUUAUGGUUAGUGUUUUUGUUAU